rnacentral:rRNA from 1 species
GCUACGGGAGGCAGCAGUGGGGAAUAUUGCACAAUGGGGGAAACCCUGAUGCAGCGACGCCGCGUGAGUGAAGAAGUAAUUCGGGAUGUAAAGCUCUAUCAGCAGGGAAGAAAAUGACGGUACCUGAGUAAGAAGCCCCGUCUAACUACGGGCCAGCAGCCGCGGUAAUACGUAGGGGGCAAGCGUUAUACGGAUUUACUGGGUGUCAAGGGAGCGUAGACGGCAGUGCAAGUCUGGAGUGCAAGGCGGGGGCUCAACCCCCUGACUGCUCUGGAAACUGUACGGCUGAAGUGCAGGCGCGGUAAGUUGAAUUCCUAGUGUAGCGGUGCAAUGCGUAGAUAUUAGGAGGACCACCAGUGGCGCAGGCGGCUUACUGGACUGUAACUGACGUUGAGGCUCGAAAGCGUGGGGAGCAAACAGGAUUAGCUACCCCUGUAGUC